GUACUCCAUGGCCCCUAUGGGUAGGGCUUCACACGUCAUACAAUGGUCGGUACAGAGGGUUGCCAAGCCGCGAGGUGGAGCCAAUCCCUUAAAGCCGAUCGUAGUCCGGAUCGUAGUCUGCAACUCGACUACGUGAAGUCGGAAUCGCUAGUAAUCGCAGAUCAGCAUGCUGCGGUGAAUACGUUCCCGGGUCUU
rnacentral:rRNA from 1 species